UAUGUGAUCGUCUCUCGCAUAUCAAUAAGCGGAGGAAAAGAAACUAACAAGGAUUCCCCUAGUAACGGCGAGUGAAGCGGGAAGAGCUCAAAUUUGAAAUCUUAAAGGGUUUCCCUUUACGAAUUGUAGUUUAAAGAAGUGUUUUCUGUUGAGGUUUUGGUAAAAGUUCUUUGGAAUAGGACAUCAUAGAGGGUGAGAAUCCCGUAUUUGACCUUUACUUUCAACUUUGUGAUACACUUUCAAAGAGUCGGAUUGUUUGGGAAUGCAGUCCAAAAUGGGUGGUAAAUUUCAUCUAAAGCUAAAUAUUGGCGAGAGACCGAUAGCGAACAAGUACCGUGAGGGAAAGAUGAAAAGAACUUUGAAAAGAGAGUUAAACAGUACGUGAAAUUGUCAAAAGGGAAGCGUUUGACACCAGUGUUGUUUUUCUGAAAAUCAAUUAAAGAACUGUUUAUGCUAAGCUGUUUAGACUUUAUCAGCUAAUCUGUUUAGUUUUGAGCUUUUCUUUAAUGCACUUUUCAGUUAACAAGUCAACAUCAAUUUCUUUUGCUGUAAAAAAGCUUGAGGAAGGUGGCUUGAGAUUCGUCUUAAGUGUUUAUAGCCUCUUGCCUAUGCAGUCGGAGAGAUUGAGGUCUGCAGCGUAGAUCCUUCGGGGCUAAAUGCAUUUGUGCUAAGUUAUAGCAUUUUAUAGACAAUUUGUUGACUAUGAUUUGUCUUGUAGCUUACUCGCUUAUGUUAUUUUACCUACGCUUAGGAUGUUGAUCUACAGAGCGAGAGU
rnacentral:rRNA from 1 species